GACAUGCAGAGAACUUCGAGAGAUGGAGUUGGUGCCUUCGGGAACUCUGACACAGGUGCUGCAUGGCUGUCGUCAGCUCGUGUCGUGAGAUGUUGGGUUAAGUCCCGUAACGAGCGCAACCCUUGUCCUUAGUUACCAGCACGUUAUGGUGGGCACUCUAAGGAGACUGCCGGUGACAAACCGGAGGAAGGUGAGGAUGACGUCAAGUCAUCAUGGCCCUUACGGCCUGGGCUACACACGUGCUACAAUGGUCGGUACAAAGGGUUGCCAAGCCGCGAGGUGGAGCUAAUCCCAUAAAACCGAUCGUAGUCCGGAUCGCAGUCUGCAACUCGACUGCGUGAAGUCGGAAUCGCUAGUAAUCGUGAAUCAGAAUGUCACGGUGAGUACGUUCCCGGGCCUU
rnacentral:rRNA from 1 species